GCCGAGGUGGCGAAACUGGUACACGCACUACCUUGAGGUGGUAGCGGGGGCAACCCCUUGCAGGUUCAAAUCCUGUCCUCGGCA
rnacentral:tRNA from 1 species